rnacentral:rRNA from 1 species
UGCAGUCGAACGUGAAAGUCCUUCGGGACGAGUAAAGUGGCGCACGGGUGAUAACGCGUGGAUAAUCUACCUUCAAGACGGGGAUAACGGUUGGAAACGAUCGCUAAUACCGGAUACGCUAUGUAUUAUAACGUUACAUAGGAAAUGAUAGCCUCUGCUUGCAAGCUAUUGCUUGAAGAUGAGUCCGCGUCCCAUUAGCUAGUUGGUGAGGUAAGAGCUCACCAAGGCAACGAUGGGUAGCCGUUCUAAGAGGAUGAUCGGCCACACUGGAACUGGAACACGGUCCAGACUCCUACGGGAGGCAGCAGUGGGGAAUAUUGCGCAAUGGGCGAAAGCCUGACGCAGCGACGCCGCGUGAGGGAUGAAGGUCUUCGGAUCGUAAACCUCUGUCAGGGGGGAAGAAGUGUGUCUAUUCAAAUAGGGUAGGCAUUUGACGGUACCCCCAAAGGAAGCACCGGCUAACUCCGUGCCAGCAGCCGCGGUAAUACGGAGGGUGCGAGCGUUAAUCGGAAUUACUGGGCGUAAAGCGCACGUAGGUGGUUUUGUAAGUCAGGGGUGAAAUCCCACCGCUCAACGGUGGAACAGCCUUUGAUACUGCAUCACUAGAGUAUCGGAGAGGGUGGCGGAAUUCCAGGUGUAGGAGUGAAAUCCGUAGAUAUCUGGAGGAACACC